GCUCACGUUAUUCGAGCGGCCGACGUCUGAAUAGCUAGUUGGUGGGGUAAUGGCCUACCAAGGGGACGAUCAGUAGCGGGUCUGAGAGGAUGAUCCGCCACACUGGAACUGAGACACGGUCCAGACUCCUACGGGAGGCAGCAGUGGGGAAUUUUGGACAAUGGGGGCAACCCUGAUCCAGCCAUUCCGCGUGAGUGAAGAAGGCCUUCGGGUUGUAAAGCUCUUUCAGCUGGAACGAAACGGUGCGCUCUAACAUAGCGUGCUAAUGACGGUACCAGCUUAAGAAGCACCGGCUAACUACGUGCCAGCAGCCGCGGUAAUACGUAGGGUGCGAGCGUUAAUCGGAAUUACUGGGCGUAAAGCGUGCGCAGGCGGAUUGUUAAGCAAGAUGUGAAAUCCCCGGGCUUAACCUGGGAAUGGCAUUUUGAACUGGGAGUCUAGAGUGCGU
rnacentral:rRNA from 1 species